rnacentral:lncRNA from 1 species
CAUAGAGUUUUAUUAACAACAUAAAAUUAGCCAUUAUGAAUAUAUAGUUUACAACAAGAAUAAAAGUUCAGCAAGCAAAGCGGUAAGGUGGAUUUUCUGAGGGGCAUUAUUUAACUCAAGGUUACAUGCCAUUUUGGUCUUAAAUAAGUACACAUUUGCUGUCCUCCAAAGAAUGCCUCUUGGAAAACUCACAUCAUUUGUGCAGGCAGUUUGGGCUUUAGCGGUAGUUUUCCGACUCCUCGACAGGACAGUCAAGGCAAACUUCCUUUCUCAGGCUUUCUCUCCUAUGUCCCCAUUACUUUCCUUGUCUGUCUAUACUGCUCAUUGUGAGGAGGGUAACAGACUAAAACACAGCAUCAGGAAGAGUACCACCCUCUGCCUGGACCUUACUGGCAUCUCUUGCUCAAUGACACAUUGCUAUCUGUAAGGUAGAAGACGCAGUAGCUAACUCACUGAAGAUGGAGCUGAAAGAGAACAGACCUUCCAUUUAUCUGAUUUCACUCAUAUGACAACACACCCAACUAAUGGAGCUGAGCUCACAGGGUAUGAAUAGGUGAGCUCUGGGUGACACACAAGGGGACAAAGAGACCUUUCAGAAGAAUUUGAUGACUGCCUUUGACACCAUCUCAACAUCAAUGAACAGAGCAUUAACAAAGCAUUUGAUCUCUCUCUCUUUCUCUCUCUCUCUCUCAAUGGAUCUUAUUAUAGCAAUGGCAGCAGAGAGCUGUUUGGCAAAGGAAACCAAGCCAAGGAUACCACAUGACUUUACAGAAUCCCAAG